GUCCCUAUAAAUCAAGAAGGAAUGAGAUUUCGUGAUAUCCACUGUUUUAAUUUGGCUUUGCUCGCCAAACAGGCAUGGCGUGUGUUGGACAAUCCUGAUUCCUUGUGUGCUUCUAUCCUACAGGUAAAAUAUUACCCCGAUGGUGAUCUAUUAAAUGUGAAGUUAAAGAAAGUCUCUUCCUUUACAUGUCAAAGUAUUAUGGCAGGCAUAAAUAUAAUGAAACGUGGCUAUAUUUGACGAGUGGGGAAUGGACACAACAUUAAUAUCUGGGAAGCCUGGAUUCCAAGCUAUGCAACUAGAAAAAUCGUAACGCCUAAGGGAGGUAACAUGUUAACUAAGGUAGGUGAUCUCAUUGAUCCUGCUUCUAAUACUUGGGAUGAAGACCUGAUUAGACAAACUAUGUGGCCAAUCCAUGUAGAAAGGAUUCUUUCAAUUCCCCUACCGCAACAUGAUAUGCGAGAUUUAAUUACCUGGAACUAUACAAAAAAUGGCAUUUUCUCGAUUCGGUCAGCCUAUUCUAUGAAGUGGGACCACCAGUAUGAAAGCAAAUUAUAAUACGCUAAUGGGAUGGGCACCAUAGUUAACCCCAUUUGGAGUAAGAUGCGGAAGUUAGUCUGUCCGGCAAAAGUAAAUUUUUUCUUAUGGCGUACGCUACAUGGUACAAUCCCAUGCCGGGUUAUGCUAGCUAACAAACAUAUGAAGGUUUCACCCAUCUGCCCCACUUGUUCGGAGGGUUUAGAAGAUACAAAACAUAUGCUAUUCUGCUGUAGUAAAGCAAAGGAGGUCUGAAAAAGGCUGGUGAUGGAUGAUAUUAUUGAUAAAGCUUGUGAAGUUGACCGUGCGGGAGAGGCAGUGUUGGAGUAUUUACUACUCCUACUAGAUCAAGAUUUGUGGAUGCAGAGAGAGCCUUGGCUCAGUGGUUGGGUAUGUGGUUGUGUUGGGGAACGUUGCAGAAAAUAA
rnacentral:rRNA from 1 species